AUUGAACGCUGGCGGCAUGCCUUACACACGCAAGUCGAACGGUAACAGGUCUUCGGAUGCUGACGAGUGGCGAACGGGUGAGUAAUACAUCGGAACGUGCCUAGUAGUGGGGGAUAACUACUCGAAAGAGUGGCUAAUACCGCAUGAGAUCUACGGAUGAAAGCAGGGGAUCGCAAGACCUUGUGCUACUAGAGCGGCCGAUAGCAGAUUAGGUAGUUGGUGGGAUAAAAGCUUACCAAGCCGACGAUCUGCAGCUGGUCUGAAAGGACGAUCAGCCACACUGGGACUGAGACACGGCCCAGACUCCUUCGGGAGGCAGCAGUGGGGAAUUUUGGACAAUGGGCGAAAGCCUGAUCCAGCAAUGCCGCGUGCAGGAUGAAGGCCUUCGGGUUGUAAACUGCUUUUGUACGGAACGAAAAGCCCUGGGUUAAUACCCUGGGGUCAUGACGGUACCGUAAGAAUAAGCACCGGCUAACUACGUGCCAGCCGCCGCCGUAA
rnacentral:rRNA from 1 species